AUAUACUUUGUAAGAUGUAACACCACUUUAUCGGGCCCGGUCGAAAAAGAACAUACAGAAAAGUGGUACAUAUUUAAAACAAACUAGACGUUCCUACGCGGCACAGGUGUAAACACUAAACCAGUAAGCAUACAUUUUAGUAACUAAUGUAUCAGAUGAAAGGUGAAAGACUGGUGAUACUUGUAGAACACUUAAUUUACUUAUAAUUCUGAAUAAUACAAAAAGGUCUGAAUGAAUUUUAAAAUUGAGGGCAUAUAUAAUAGCCUGUUUUUUCAGAUAUGAAGUGCAUAGUUUGGUGUAAAAAAAAUUCCCAUGAUCAGUCCAGUACGGUUCGACAUUCAUAUGACAACUAACAGUAGGUAGUUUUCAGCAUUAUGAAAAUUUUUAGCUAUUCAGGUAAGUGUGAGUCUAUAGUGAUUUUUUAUCCAUGAGAUGUCGGCCAUGUUGGCUUGCGGUUGGGGUUAUCAUAUACGUUUCUUUAAAAAACUAAAUAAUCAAAGAUGCUUAAUUUGUGGCCAAGUUUUGGCUCCUUAUUUUAGGGAUUUUUUUUAGUAAGCAGACGAAAAACUAACAACGAUCUCCAGAUAUACAUGAUGUCUUUUUCUUGAUGAAUGUCAUACGAUAACCUGUAGAUGUUUACAUCCUUCUCAUAAGCCAUUAGGUCUUUUACAUGUUUUAUGACUAUUAUGUAUUAAC
rnacentral:lncRNA from 1 species